rnacentral:misc_RNA from 1 species
GUGAACUUGAUCGAGCUUUCUCCCAAGGCCGUUCAUCGAUAGACUCUUCCCAAAUGACACAAUCUCCACCACACUGAUGACAAGUUAUCAUACCCUUUCCAUUACACAACGAACAAUCUAAGUUGGAUCUCUCGAUUCCACAUUCAGUACAUGAAGUGUAGCCUCUUCCUCUGCAGCUUGGACAAGGCAGUUCUCUUAUAUACUGUCCAU